ensembl:lncRNA
GUCUGAAGGGCCGAGGCCUCUCCUCUCCUCAGAUCCCCUCCUCUCCGCGAUGUGAGGGCAGCCAAGGACGGGAAGAGAAGGGAACAGGAGAGAGAGUCGAGGACUUAUGCUAUCUACAAGGAGCUUGGAGUUGAGCUACUGUGUGAUCCAUGUAAACAAAUGAUGAUAAACAAGUUAAGGCACAUUUAUGUACAAAGUGGUCUAAGAACACUGUAAACGGAGGAAUUGCUUGUUUCAGGCUGCUAGGAAAAGAGUAAAGGGUACAGGAGAGAAAGGAGAGAAAACUGGCAUUGAGUCUUGAAAGACAACUUGCGCCCCCUAGACAGACAUCACUGGGGUAGGCGAGUUGCUAAGGGAAUGGGAUGGACAGUAUUCCAGACAAAUGGAGGAACAGGUGAAAAGGAGGUGGUAGGAGGGAACUGAGAAAGUGCGCUGGGUUUGGGGAACUGGGGCAAAGCAGGAGAGCAUAACAACGGCCAGAGAGAAGGUACAGGAGUGGAUUCGAGGCAGGCCAGCAAAAGAAUUCAUGGAUGUCAAUCUUUGCUAGUGCUCACGCUCAGUCACUUCAUUCAUGUCCAACUCUUU